CCUUCGAUAGCUCAGUUGGUAGAGCGGAGGACUGUAGUGGAAAAACCAGGAAUCCUUAGGUCGCUGGUUCAAAUCCGGCUCGAAGGA
rnacentral:tRNA from 1 species